rnacentral:rRNA from 1 species
GGGCUCGCGGCCUAUCAGCUUGUUGGUGGGGUAAUGGCCUACCAAGGCGACGACGGGUAGCUGGUCUGAGAGGAUGGCCAGCCACAUUGGGACUGAGAUACGGCCCAGACUCCUACGGGAGGCAGCAGUGGGGAAUAUUGGACAAUGGGCGCAAGCCUGA